UGGGGGAUUUUGCACAAUGGGCGCAAGCCUGAUGCAGCGACGCCGCGUGAGGGAUGAAGGCCUUCGGGUUGUAAACCUCUUUCGCUGGGUUGAAAGGCCAUGCUUUGGGUGUGGUUGAUUUGAACUGGUAAAGAAGUACCGGCUAACUACGUGCCAGCAGCCGCGGUAAUACGUAGGGUACUAGCGUUGUCCGGAUUUAUUGGGCGUAAAGCGCACGUAGGCUGCUUUGUAAGUCAGGGGUGAAAUCCCACGGCUCAACCGUGGAACUGCCUUUGAUACUGCUUAGCUUGAAUCCGGGAGAGGGUGGCGGAAUUCCAGGUGUAGGAGUGAAAUCCGUAGAUAUCUGGAGGAACAUCAGUGGCGAAGGCGGCCACCUGGACCGGUAUUGACGCUGAGGUGCGAAAGCGUGGGGAGCAAACAGG
rnacentral:rRNA from 1 species